UUAGAAGCAUGUUAUUGAGUUUCCAAAUAUUUAAGUUUUUUCCCAGAGAUAUUUCUGUUAUACUUUCUUAUUUCAUUGUGGUCAGAGAAACAUAUUUCGCAUGACUUGUAUCCUUUUUAAUGUGUUGAGACUUGUUAUAUGAACCAGUUUAUUAUAUUAUGAACUUGUUAUAUUCACAGUGAAAUUUGGGGCACUUGAAAAGAAUAUGGUUCUGUUGGUUAGAUGGAGUAUUCUGCAUAUUAAUCAGGUCCAAAAGGUUGAUACUGUUGAAAUCUAUUAUAUCUUCACUAAUUUUUAAUCUAUCUGUUCUGCCAAUUAUUAGGAUAACACUAUUACAAUCUCUGGUCAUAAUUAUGGAUUUGUCUAUUUUCUUCUUGGAGUUUCAUCAGUUUUGCUUCAUGUAUUUUAAAAGUUCUGCAUUUAGGUGCAUGUUAGUGAGGGUUCUUCAGAGGAACAGAACCAAUAGGAUAUGUGUAUAUACAGAAAGAGAUUUAUGUUAUGGAAUUGACUUAUAUAAUUGUGGAGACUUGGGAAGUCCAAAAUCAGAUGGGGAGUCUGGCAGGCUGGAGACUCAGGAGAAAGCUGCAGUUGAAGUCCAGAGGCAGCCUGCUGGUGAACAAGGAAGAGCCCACGUUGCAGAUAAAAUCUGAAGCAAUCUGCUUGCAGGAUUUCUUUCUCUGGUGCAGCCAGCCUUUUGUUCUAUGGACUUUAACUGAUUGAAUGAGGCACACACACAUUAUGGAGGCUAAUCUGAUAUUUUCCUCAGAGUCCAUCAAUUUAAAUGCAAAUCUCAUCCAAAGACACUCUCACAGAAACAUCCAGAAUAAUGUUUGACCAAACCAUAGCCCCAGCCAAGUUGACACAUAAAAUUAACUAUC
rnacentral:lncRNA from 1 species